rnacentral:rRNA from 1 species
GACGAACGCUGGCGGCGUGCUUAACACAUGCAAGUCGAACGGAAAGGCCCUGCUUUUGUGGGGUGCUCGAGUGGCGAACGGGUGAGUAACACGUGAGUAACCUGCCCUUGACUUUGGGAUAACUUCAGGAAACUGGGGCUAAUACCGGAUAGGAGCUCCUGCUGCAUGGUGGGGGUUGGAAAGUUCCGGCGGUUGGGGAUGGACUCGCGGCUUAUCAGCUUGUUGGUGGGGUAGUGGCUUACCAAGGCUUUGACGGGUAGCCGGCCUGGGAGGGUGACCGGGCACAAUGGGACUGAGGGACGGACCAGACUCCUACGGGGGGCAACAGUGGGGAAUAUUGCCCAAUGGGCGGAAGCCUGAUGCAGCAACCCCGCGUGCGGGAUGACGGCCUUCUGGUUGUAAACCGCUUUCGCCUGUGACGAAGCGGGGGUGACGGUAAUGGGUAAAGAAGCACCGGCUAACUACGUG